AAAUGGGUUUCUGGAGACAGAGUGGCUGCUCCAAUAAAGUAUAAAACCGAGAAGGCUCUGAGGAAACUCAAAUCUUCAUUUUGCAGAGCUGUCUCAAGAGCUUGGCACCUGUGUCUCCGUUGUCCCUGCUGUACAGGUGACAGUGGUGAUGAGGACUGUACACAACGAAGUCAUCCUGCUCCUGGUACCAAAUGAGGAUCGCCCUGGAGAGCCAGGAGCAUCAGUGACUUGCAGAAGAAUUGCAGCCACCAUGACUUUGACUCUGAUCGAGCGAGCAGAUGAGAAGGGAGCCGCUGCACCCAGGAUGGACCAUCCUGGAGCCACACAGAGCCUGGGGCCAUCUUCUGAUCACUUUGCCACAGAACUACUAGGAGCAGCUCUUUAGAUUGAAGAAGACCAGGCCACCAGGCCCCAACGCCAUCCAAACAGAGAAGCAGCUUGGAAAAACCCCCUAGGGAGCCAGGGACCUCAGACCCAGCUGCUUCCACUCAGCGGGGCCACAGAAGCUGCUGAGGCCCAGGCUGGGUGUGCACUGAGCAAAGCAAAUGGAUGAUUCCCAGCAGGGAUGUUGAGACAGUUCAUCCACCCUUGACAUCUUCCUACGGCAGCUUGCUGGCUUCUGCCUGUGUCACCUCCCCACAGUCUAAGGAGGGUUGGUCACUUGUUAUGGGGCACUCAGCAGAAGAAUACAGCGUGAUUAUCUCCAUCGUGCGAUGAUGUACCGAGUCCAGAGCCUCUGUCAGGCCUCCUCUGUCCAGCAACUCUGCCACACCAGCAACCUGGGAGCCCCCAACAGCAUCAGGAUUCAGUCCACAGCAAGCCUGGGCCUGCUCUGCUUCUGAUGGGCAGGAGAAGCCAGGGCCUCUCCAGUCCUGCAUUCCUGUCCUUGACAAAGCUCAGCUUGUGGUGGUUCCUACUGAUGCCAGCAGCAUCGGUGUUCUUCAUCUGCAAAGUGCAGGUGGUACAAUCGGCCUCUCCAGGACUGAAUGAUGCUGGACUAUCACUCAGGACAUACACAUGGUAGGUGUCGUCACUGUGGUGCCCGCUGUCUUCUGGAUUUUGGAGCUGGAGUUCUCCACUUGCUGGGACAGCAGAGCCCUGGAGUGGGGAUGCUGUUUGCAGAACCCAGUGAAAACCUCUUGGAGCACAAUUUUACAGUUCUCUGCCUACCUGACAGGAAGUGGCAAGUGCCAGUAGGUGGCUUUCAUCUGCCUUGUGGGUGGGGAUGAUGGCCACUCUCCACCCAGGUCCAGCCAGGAUCUCUUCAGUGGAUGAAGCACUCAUCCUGCACCUCACCCUACAUAGACCAGCCAUCUCCCCCAUGUACCUGUGCCCCUUGAGGUUCCUUUGGUCUCCCCACUCCCUGCUGCUUCUCUACCACAACAGUCCCCACCUCCUGUCUAAUCUUACCUAGGUGCUGACAUUUAGUGAACAAUGAUGGGAUGGCUCUGAUAGACAUCACCACCAUCAUAUUAAGUCUAUGCCAGAGUGGGAGCAGAGUUGGAUUCUCACCUCCAUUUGCCUGAAGACCCAAUGGAGGCUCAGUGUCUUGGGUACCUUGGCUCUGAAAAAAGGUGGACAGAAAGCCACAUGACCAGACCAUUUCCUUGGCCUCCUGUGGACCCCUCCUCUUUUCUCCCCAUCCCACAGCCCUGAAGCCCCCACACCCAGGCCAAAGAUUGCCUCUUCAAACAUGGGUAUGGCCAGUGCCCCACACCUGGGAUGUGGUGACUGCUUCAAACUGUCCACCACCCAGCUUGUGACAUUGUGCCCCUGUCCUUCCACGCUGGGCUCCCUGGAAUUGGCCCCUGGCCCACCAGCCCCUUCCCCAGGGUCUGUUGGCCUUGUCCAUCCCAGCCCACCUCAGUCACAGACCCUCAGCCCUCCUCCUGUCCUCUCUCCCUUGCCUUAGCCCAGCCCAGGAGACCCUCCCAAGAACACUGUUGGGCAGCAGCAGGGGAUUGUGUGGCCCUAGGGAAUCUGAGUGCCUGAGGCAGUUUCAGGAGAGGUGGGCCGCCUUCCUUUUUCCUGUUUUCCAGGCUGGUUUGCCAGUCUAAUUGUGCUUUCUCUCUCCAUACUACUGGUAAAGAACCAGAUGAUGACCACCAACAUCUGGCUAAAGCAGGUAAGGCCCUUCCCUGAAGGAAGGGACAGAACCCAUUGACCCCAGCCCCUGUAGGAAUUUCUGCUAGUGAGGGCCCAAGGAGAAGCUAGAUCCAGAAUUCAUGGUUCACGAACAGUGGCUGCUUAGGAUGGCCAGGGCCAACUGGCAGCAGACAGCUCCUGAGAGCUGUGCUCCUUUGUGGCUAGAGUGCUUGGCAUCUGGCUGGUGGCUGGAUCUGUUCUGGGAGGUCCAAGGCUGCUUCUGUUACAUGUAUGUACUUUGGCAGGGGGAUAUGGGAGGUUCCGGAAGGCUCUAGAAGGUUCUGGAAGGCUGGGCCUGACAGGGAUCCUCACCCUGUCAGGCACUUGGAAGGUCUUUCUCCAGCAGGGGAGCUGGAUUCUCACUUGGUGGCUCAGGGCUUCCAAGGUGACAGUUCCAAGAGGCACGAAGUAGAAGCUGCUGCGGUUCUCUUACUUUUGGACACUAGCCCAGCAUCAGUUCUGCUGUACUCCACUGAUCCAAAGGAAUCCAGCUGGAUCCAGGCUCUUCCCAGCCACUCCCCAAUCCCCAACACAGAGGAGGCUGGAGAGUAAAUGAAAGAGGACCCAGACCCUGGCACACAGCAUUUUCCUCCAGCCCACUGGUAUCUGCCUGUCCCUAUGGCAGAGCUUCCUCAUGCACAACCAAGAAGGACCAGUCUGACCAAAGGAACUAGGAGCUCACAGAAGGCAGUGGGGAGGCUGAAGAGAAUCCCAGUGGGCAAAAAUUACUGAGUUAAUUUUUGAUCAAAGAAAUGGAAAUCUAUACUUCAUUUGCACUGUCAGGUAAUUUUUUUUCAUGAGAAGUCAAGCUAAACACUUUUUUAAAAGCAGGGCCUUGAGGAAACCACUGCUUCCUUGAGAUACAAAUAGCUAUGAGGUGCUGCAGCCACAUGAUUUUGGAUAACAGUGGUGUCCACUGAGCUCCCUCCACCCCAGGCCAUGGGAAGACACCUGAGCACAAUAGAGUCCUCAGUAAAGACACCAGCCUCCAGCUGGCCCAGCCCCUGGCCAUUGGUCCCAACUUAGGAAAUGCUGUUUUUGAAUGAUAAAUAAAGGUGGGGAGGCUCACUUCAGUAUUGUGUGUCUCCAGAUAGGUCAGAGGGAAGCAACAAGGUUUCCUCACACUGUCCAGCUCUGGGCAGGCCCAGUGCCCCCACCCAAGCUGCACCCCUCACUACAGGGUUAUC